rnacentral:rRNA from 1 species
CAACGAGCGCAACCCUUGUNAUCAGUUGCCAUCAUUCAGUUGGGCACUCUNAUGAAACUGCCGGUGUCAAACCGGAGGAAGGNGGGGAUGACGUCANGUCCUCAUGGCCCUUAUGUCCAGGGCUACACACGUGCUACAAUGGCCGGUACAAAGAGUAGCAAUACCGCGAGGUGGAGCCAAUCUCAGAAAGCCGGUCUCAGUUCGGAUUGGAGUCUGCAACUCGNCUCCAUGAAGUCGGAAUCGCUAGUAAUCGCGGAUCAGCAUGCCGCGGUGAAUACGUUCCNGGGCCUUGUACACACCGCCCGUCACACCACGGGAGUCGACUGGUCCCGAAGUGCGUGAGCUAACCCCUUGUGGAGUGGCAGCGUCCUAAGGAAUGGUCGGUGACUGGGGUUCCGNUAUUGACAAGGUAACC